rnacentral:tmRNA from 1 species
GGGGAUGACAGGCUUCGACGGAGGAGGCUGGUCCCGGAUUGCGAGCCGAGAGGCGCCGACCUCGUAAACUCAGCGCAAAAAAAUAAGUGCCAACCGCACUUCCUAUGCCGCUAUGCCCCUCGCUGCGUAAGCAGUAGAGGCAAAACCGGCCGGUUUCUCUAAGAGACCGCGUCCACCUGCCCCGCUCGCCGCCCGGAGGCAGAUGUGGGCGUCAGAAAGACGGCGUGCCGCAUGGUGAGGCUGCUAACCAUGCGAAAGAGGGCUUUCGGGUCCAAGCGGCUGGCCGCAGGCCUUUCUGGCCGGACGAGAAGUCUGCGGUGAGAGAUUUCGACCGGCUACGCUCGUAGAUAUCCGAGGGUCGAAUCUUUCGGACGCGGGUUCGAUUCCCGCCAUCUCCACAC